CUCAAAGCCCAUCUAUGCUGCAGCACAGAGGAAUACUUCAUUCCUUUUUAUUGCCAAACAAUACUCCAUUGUAUGGAUAUAUUGGUUGGCCAAAAAGUUCGUUUGGGUUUUUCCAUAACAUCAUGCAGGAGAACCUGAAUGAACUUUUUGGCCAACCCCAUGUUAUAUUCUAUUCAUCCAUUCAUUCAUUGGUGGACAUUUAGAUUGUUUCUACAUCUUAGAUAUUGUGAAUAAUGCUACGAUGAACAUUUGGUACAAGUGUUUGUGUAGACAUACAUUUUUAUUUCUCUUGAGUACUCCAAUACUUUGGCCACCUGAUGUGAAGAACUGACUCAUUUGAAAAGACCCUGAUGCUGAGAAAGAUCGAAGGCGGGAGAAGGAGACGACAGAGGAUGAGAUGGUUGGAAAGCAUCACCGACUUGAUGGACAUGAAUUUGAGUAAGCUCCAGGAGUUGGUGAUGAACAGGCAAGCCUGGCGUGCUGCAGCAUAUGGGGUUGCAAAGAAUCAGAAUGACUGAGCGACUGAACAGAACUGAACUGAGUGCUUAUCAGUGAAAAUGGAGUAACCACAUAUUGGAAAUCUAAGGAGGAAUUCUAUUUAGACGACAUUUAGUGUGAGUGCAUCAUAUGUCGGUGGCUUUCAGCUAUCACUAGCUCUCCCAGGUUGGAAUGGCUAUCAGGAAUAAACCCACUGCCCACUGAAGGAAUUCACCCAGUACCAAACACCAAAAGGGACAGGGGUGAUACUGAAAAGUGAGUCUGUCCUACAGCCCCUGGCACCUGAACUAUGUACACAGUCAACGAGAAACCGAGUUUGAAAAGGGGAAGCCAGAAGAACCUAGUCUGCGGAAAAUGCUUCAAGUCAUAAAAAAUGCAAGUUGUGAGCAGAAGAAAAAUGGACGUUCUCUUCUUUCAGAGAAAUAUUUAAUAAUGUGGCAUUUGCAACUAUACAAGUACCAUACUUUAUUUCUUUCCAUUUUGGUGGGAAGCAUGGAAAAUAGAAUUUACCUGAAUUCCUUCACUUUUAGAGCACAAAUCUACAAUUGGUGAGUGUAUCUGUGAGGUAAGUCAUAUAUAACUGUCACUACCAUUAAUAAUAAAAUACAAAUUUCAAUCAACCAUCUUAAGACAAAGUAUUGCAAAAAUCAUGUUUCACAUGAAGAAGUGCUCAAUGCACGCAGUCAGAAAGUAUACAUAAAAAAUCAUACCAUGUCUCAGCCUGCUCACCACCACAGCAAAACACCAUAGGCUAAGUGGCCUAAACAACAGAAAUUUCUUUCUCACAGUUCUGGAGCCUGGGAAUUCCAAGAUGAAGGUGCUGGCAGGUAAGUUUCAUUCUGAAUCAUUUUUCUCUUGAAUUGCAGGCGUGUGCCAUCACACCGUGUGUUCUCAUGACCCAUUCUUCGUGCACAUGUUGGAGAGAAAUCAUGAACUCUCUGAUGUCUGUCCACCAUAAAAGGCAUUAAUCCCACCAGGAGGACUCCAGCCUCAUCACCUCAUUUAACCCUAAUUACCCCCCAAAAGUUCCAUCUCCAAAUGCCAUCACAUUGGGAGUGUUAAGGUUUCAACAUAUGAACUGGGUGGGGGGCAGGGCAUAAACAUAUCAAAUGUGUGUACAAUAAUUAAAUUAUUAUGUACUUAGUGAUAUUAUGAUAUAUGACAGCUCUUUAAUAUUUGCAAUGUAUUGUGAUUAAGUUUCUCUUUCCAAAUGUACCUUCAAUUUCACACCUAAUUUUGUUUUAAUGAUUUUAAAAUCUUUCUCUCAAAGAUGAUCCCAGCCCAACAAAAUCUAGACCCCCUCUUGCCUUUACCGUCACCUUCCCACACCCCUUAUCCUCAAGUUCUGUCAUAUCUAAAGCUGCCCAUCUUGCACAAAACAACAGCCUCCCUGUGCAGACAACCUCUCUACAUGCAUUUCUAUCUAUUCUCAAGAUUCUAAAUCACAAAUCUCAAAAACAAGUUUGAUGGAAGCAACCUGAAUGUUGAUUGACAGAUAAAUGAAUAAGGAAGAUCUGGGACAAAUAUAUAAUGGAAUAUGACUCAGCCAUAAAAAGGAUGAAAUAAUGUCAUUUGUAGCAACAUAGGUGGAUCUAGAGAUGAUCAUACUAAGUGAAGUAAGUCAGACAAAGACAAAUAUCACAUGCUAUCACGCACAUGUUGAAACUAAAAAAAAAGAUGAUACAAAUGAACUUAUUUCAAAAACAGAAAUUGACGCAUAGGCAACAAAUUUGUAGUUACCAAAGGAGAAAAGGAGGGGCGGGACAAAUUAGUAGUAGGGAUUAACAUAUACACACUACUAUAUAUAAAAUAGAAAAACAAAGACCUACUGUAUAGAACAGAAAACUACACUCAAUAUUUCAUAAUAACCUGUAAUGGAAAAGAAUCUGAAAAAGUUAUAUAUAUGUAUAUACAUAUAUAUAUACACACACACAAGAAUAUUUAUACACAAAUAUAUAUAUAUACACUCAAAUGAAAAUUUAUAUAUAUAUAUAUAUACACACAUAUAUAACAAAUAUGUUCUUGCCUGGAAAAUCUCAGUGAUGGGGGAGCCUGGUG
ensembl:lncRNA